UACGAAGGGACCUAGCGUAGUUCGGAAUUACUGGGCUUAAAGAGCUCGUAGGUGGUUAGAAAAGUUGAUGGUGAAAUCCCAAGGCUCAACCUUGGAACUGCCAUCAAAACUUUUUAGCUAGAGUGUGAUAGAGGAAAGUGGAAUUUCUAGUGUAGAGGUGAAAUUCGUAGAUAUUAGAAAGAACACCAAAUGCGAAGGCAACUUUCUGGGUCACAACUGACACUGAGGAGCGAAAGCAUGGGUAGCGAAGAGG
rnacentral:rRNA from 1 species